rnacentral:rRNA from 1 species
CUACUUUAAUAGAGCGUCGCAAUGACUCUCGGCAACGGAUAUCUCGGCUCUCGCAUCGAUGAAGAACGUAGCGAAAUGCGAUACUUGGUGUGAAUUGCAGAAUCCCGUGAACCAUCGAGUCUUUGAACGCAAGUUGCGCCCGAAGCCUUUCGGCCGA